AAGUUGUAAACGCUCCAAGUUUUUAAGAAGAGAUUGGACAACCAUUUGUCUGAAGUGUAGGGUUUCCUGCCUAAGCAGGGGGUUGGACUAGAAGACCUCCAAGUACCCUCCCAACUCGGUUAUGCU